GUGUCCAACCAUGAAUCUGUUGGAAGAACACAGCAGGUUGAGCAGCAUCAAUGGAGGGAAAUAAAUAAUCCACCAAAACACCUCAAUCACUUUUUGUUUGAAACCAAAUUCUAAACUGCCCCUAGCCCUCACACUUGUUAUUUUUCUGACAACUUUGUCAUUCUUAUUGGAUGCAAUACUGUACAUAAUUGCUUUUAUGAUUGUAAUCGUAAAUAUUCUUUGCAAUUCUUCCAUUUGUGACAUUAAUUUUUGCACUUUUAUUCCUGUCGAAGAUGUAGAAGCCAAACCCGAAUCAGCCGAAGGCGGAGAAGAGAGAAAGCCUGUAUUAGCAGGAAACGGAGAAGAAACAAAGCCACAGCCAUCAGGUGACCUAGAUCAGAGAAAACCAAGUUCCAACGAUGCAGAGAGAGAUCCUGCAAUGCACAAUGUUGAAUAAAAACAAAGAAUAUCUGAUGGGGGAAGAAGCCGUCUCUGUGAAUGGAACUAAGAAAAGAAUGUCAUCAACAGCUCUGAUGAAGGACCCUGGAACUGAAAUGUGAACCAAUUUCACCUUCCACCGAAGCUGCUUGACCCAAGUCUUUCUGCAAUUUGCUGUUUUUAUUCCACCAGCAUUCGUAUUCCACCAGCUAGAACAACCGCCAGCGAUACUCCAGUAAAUUACAUUCCAAGCCACUAUGAAAAGGGCAAAACUUGUGCUAACCAUAAACGUCAGUUAACAUCAAUGAAGCAAAUGUAUUGGAUUCCCCCUCCCCUCCCCCCCCCACUCCACCAGGAUCCAAUUUGUCAGUAAAUAAACUGUGGACUUUAUCACGGCCUGUGACAAGGUCCCGUAUGCUAGGCUGCUCAGGAACUUUGUCUCACGCGGGAUCCAGGGUAAGCUGGUCAACUGCAUGCAAUAUUGGCUUAGUGGAAGCAAGCAGUGGUGGGAGUGGUGCGUGGUUUUGCAGAUCAGAGGCCUGUAGGCAGUGGUUUGCCGCAGGGACCGGUGCUCAGUCCAUUCUUGUUUGUGGUCUAUAUUAACAAUUUGGACGACAGUAUUCUCAACACGAGUAGGAGGUCAUGGAGACAAGCAGCUGCAGAUGCUGGCUUACACAAAAGGACACAAAGACCCUUCAAGCGUCCUGACUCAAAACGUCAACUAUGCACAUUCUCCAGAGAUGUUACCUGACCUGCUGGGUUACUCCAGCAUUUUGUGACCUUAGUAGGUUUGCAGGUGACUCAUUGGUGUGGAGUGGGCAGUGUGGAAGGACAUCAAAGAUCUAGAUUAACUGACAAAGUAAAGUUUGCAGAUGACAGCACAAUUGGUGGUGUCAUGGACAGUGAAGGUGGUUAUUGAAGAUUGUAACAGGUGGUGAAUUUGGUCAAGUAAAUGGCAGAUGGAAUUCAUCACGGAUAAGUGUGAGGUGUUGCCAAGCUGAAACCAGUGCUGGAUUUGCACGCUAACGUACAGCCUUUGGAGAUACACUUUUUCUGAUCUGAGAAGUAUAUAAAAUUGAGGGGGCUGGAUAAAUGGGAGGUCACUUUCCCCCAGGGUAUGGAAAUCUGAAACUGGUGGUACAGGUUUAUGGUGAGAGAGAAAAGAGACCAGAAGGGCAACUUUUUCCACAUAAAGUUGGAGAUUAGUUUAAUUUAUUAUUGUAAAGUGUACCAAAGUACAGUAAAAUGCUUUUGUUUAUGUGCAAUCCAGUGAAAGAAAAGCCUAUAUAAAUGGAACAAAAUCACCAGUGGAAACUGCAGGAGCAAGUACAAUUACAAUAUUUAAAGUACAUUUGAACGGCUACAUGGAUAGGAAAGGUUUAGAGGGAUGUGGGUCAAACAAUGGCAAAUGGGGCUAGCAGUAUUAGACAUCCUGCUUUGUUCUCAAUCACAAAGGCUAGUCUGAGACCUUUGGUCUACCUUUUGAAAGAAGAUAGGAGGAAUUUUAGCCAGAGGGUGGCGAAUCUGUGGAAUUCAUUGCCAUGGGCAGCUGUGGAUGCCGUCAUUGGAUAUUUUGAUAGCGGUGAUGGACAUAUUCUUGAUUAGUAAAGAUGUCAGGGGUUAUGGGGCGAAGACAGGAGAAAUGGGGUUGAGGGGGAAAGAUAGAUCAGCCACGGUUGAAUGAAGGAGUAGAUCUGAUGGGCCAAAUGGCCUAAUUCUGAUCCUAUAACUUGAGAUAUUAGCCUUUUGUACGUUUUGGUUACCACCGACACUCAUUGCCCUGCUGAGUGUUUCUCCUGUGUGAACACUCACUGCACAGACGUGCUAGUCCCAGCUUUAGAUGUUUAUCUGUGUAACACUCAACUGUAUAGGCACAUUUGUCCUGGUUUUAAAUGCUUAUCAGUGCCGAGUUACAUUAUUUCAGCUCCUCACUGUGCAAUGAUUCAAGAUGAGCAGUAUUUUAUAUAUUAAAUAAGCAUUUUUAAGAGUUAAAUCUUUAAAAAUGUAAUCUGCAUUCAUUUUAAGUUAUUCCCAACAUUGAUUAGUCAAUUGAGCUACUCUAUUUGUCUUAGCUGUGUAGAUCCUUUAAAAAAAAAAA